AUUCAGAAACGUAGAGUAAAAAUAUUUUCAAUACCUAUUGGCUAUUUCGUUACAAUCGAUUGUUGAUUCAGGAAGCGUUGUGUUAAGGUAUGAAUAUAUUUCUCUGUACAUGCUGAAACAAGUCAUGCACGCGUUUAAGUAAGCUACACAUGCAUCAUCUCCAAUGGCACAACUGCAACUGCUCGGAACUACACGCAGCACAAUAAUCGCCCGAAGAAUUUUUUACAUCUGUAUCCUGCAGUUUCACACAGGUGACCGACAUCGCUACAUUUAGUUCGGUCAGGGUUUUCAACUCCAUUGGGACUAAUCGUGACGGACAGCACUUGGAUUGCCGUUUUGGGUGUCAUCAACAUAAUAUUUGGCAUGGAAAAAUAGACUUUUGUCAGUCGACUUGCACCGUAAAAGCUCGCACACGACUCUUGGCCUCGUCCAAAUCCAUGUCGUUCACUGUAAUUAUUGAAGAAAUGAUAAAAGAUCGACUCCUAGGUUCGACCAUGUUCGUGGUUACCACUUGGUCCAAUAUUGCAGCAUUAGUAUCCUGCAGAUCCACACAAGUGACCGGCCGGCACCACUACAUUGAGUUCGGGCAGGGACUUCGGCUCAGUUGGGACUGUCGUGGUGGACGGCGCUUGAACUUUCGUUUCAGCUGUUUUAGCUGUCAUUAACAUUAUAUUUGGCAUUGAAAAGUACGGCUUAGGUAAUGGACUUGCAGCGUAUAAUAGCAGCCCGCACGUGUCUUGCUCAAAUUCAUUGGAUUUAUUGUAAUCGAAGACAUCAUAAUACGAAAGUUAUAUUAAAUUAUAAUUGAUUCGUUAAACAGACAAUAACUCGAGAUUAAAGACAAAUAAAUUAUAGUUUAAUACUAGCUCACCAUUUCCUUGGAAACGAGAUUUUAUAUGCUUACUAUGUAUGGAAUACAUUUUAAUUCAAAUUGUGCCAGUUAAUUAAAUACGAGAAUAUACGGAGGGAUUUACCACCAUGCUCGCCAUAAUUUUUUCCUUUAAUAAUACAUUUAUUCAAAUUAUAAUUUUAAAUAUGCCCAUAGACCGUAUUAUUUUAAAGAUUUCUAUAGGUCACCUACCUUUUUUUCUGUUAAUUGUUAGGCAUAUGAUUUUUAUACCUAUUACUUUGACCUAAACCUAACCCAUUAUCAUUAAACUUUAAAUUACAAUAUUUAAUAUUAAUCACCUGCACGUUUUAUAGCAUAGUCGGCGUCUUUAGAGUGAAAUUCUAUUCUCCUGAAUUUCAAAACUAUCAUCACACAUAUUGUUAUAAUAAUAAUGUUACAAUUGCACUGUGUAAUGUUUAAUAGGGUCGAACGAUGUUAUAAAUUCCUUACCCAUAAACUACCAUAAUUAUAAAUAUUAAAUUGUGUUACCUAUUUUAUUUUUGACGUUCAAAAUGUACCCUACUAUAAUAAGUCUAUAUCACACAGUGGCGUACGCAGUUUUGUUAAAGAGGGUUAGGGGCGAACUUAUUUGUAUUCCUUUCCCCGUAUUAGGUAUUUGAUGAUUAACAUAAUAUAAUAUGAUAUCCGUCCAGGAUAAUUAAGCCCCAACUAAAAAAAAAAAAAUUGUAUUUACAAUUAAUAAUAAGGUUUAGUUGAUUUAGCUACUGGGAAAUAAAAAAACUAUUUAAUUCAUAUUAAAUAAACAAAAAAAAAAUUUUUUAAAUACUUAUUUUACCAAACCGAUGCCUGCGAAAAAUUGUUAAAAAGUAUCUUUAUUUUAUAAAGCUUUUGGGAAUAAAGGCACUUUAUAGAUGCUGAGUGUUGCCAAAAAUGUUUCCCUGGGCUAAUCAUAGACUAGUAUUAUAAUAAAAUAGAGCAUAAAUGUGAUAUGCCUAAUAUAGCUUGUUAUUUAAUAUAAUGUUUAAGUUAUCGUAUAUAUUUUAAUUUCAUUGUGUAACUUUUUCUUCUAAUAUGGACCCCCUUGAACUGUACUAGUAUAUGUGCACGGCCCUGACCGUGUCUGGAAACUGACAUAAGUUUACCUCAGUCACAUCAAACAACAA